ACACGGUCCAGACACCUACGGGUGGCAGCAGUCGAGAAUAAUUCACAAUGGGGGAAACCCUGAUGGUGCAACGCCGCGUGGAGGAUGAAGGUCUUCGGAUUGUAAACUCCUGUCAUCUGGGAGUAAGACCUGGCGGUAAAUAGCCGACAGGGUUGAUAGUACCAGAAGAGGAAGGGACGGCUAACUUCGUGCCAGCAGCCGCGGUAAUACGAAGGUCCCAAGCGUUGUUCGGAAUCACUGGGCGUAAGGGAGCGUAGGCGGCGUGGUAAGUCAGAUGUGAAAUCCCGGGGCUCAACCCCGGAACUGCAUCCGAUACUGCCAUGCUUGAGGGUUGGAGAGGUAGCUGGAAUUCUCGGUGUAGCAGUGAAAUGCGUGGAUAUCGAGAGGAACACUCGUGGCGAAGGCGAGCUACUGGACAACAUCUGACGCUGAGGCUCGAAGGCUAGGGGAGCAAAAGGGAUUAGAUACCCCUGUAGUCCUAGCAGUAAACGGUGUGCGCUUGGUGUGAGGGGAUUCGACCCCCCUUGUGCCGGAGCUAACGCGUUAAGCGCACCGCCUGGGAAGUACGGCCGCAAGGCUAAAACUCAAAGAAAUUGACGGGGACCCGCACAAGCGGUGGAGUAUGUGGCUUAAUUCGAUGCAAUCGCGAAGAACCUUACCAAGGCUUGACAUGGAUUUCUAAGCACGUGAAAGCGUACCCUUCGGGGGACUUCCACAGGUGCUGCAUGGCCGUCGUCAGCUCGUGUCGUGAGAUGUUGGGUUAAGUCCCGCAACGAGCGCAACCCCUGUGAACUGUUGCCAGCGCGUAAAGGCGGGGACUCUGUUCAGACUGCCCAGAUCAACUGGGAGGAAGGUGGGGACGACGUCAGGUCAGUAUGGCCCUUACGCCUUGGGCUGCACACGUACUACAAUGCCCAGUACAAUGAGAACCGAGACCGCGAGGUGGAGGAAAUCUACAAAACUGGGCCCAGUUCGGAUUGGAGGCUGCAACUCGCCUCCAUGAAGCCGGAAUCGCUAGUAAUGCUGCAUCAGCUACGGCAGCGUGAAUACGUUCCCGGGUCUUGUACACACCGCCCGUCACAUACAUGGAAGCCGUAGCA
rnacentral:rRNA from 1 species